AUAUAUAUUCCUUAUUCGUUAACUGUGGCAGCACACUUACAUCUCAUUAUAUCUUGUUUUGCUGGCCUAGCUAUAAUCUUUUUCAAUAAUGUGCAGAUUAUUGACACAUCAAUUGAUUCUCUCUUGUUUCUGUUGCUGCUGCAACAUCAAACAAUGCAUAUGAUUACUCAAAUGGGCAUGCAUCGACAGUUAGCUCUGUUAUUGUUUCAAACUUGAAAACUGGUGUCAGAAAAGGAGCAUGGGACAAAGUAGAGUGUAAUACCGGCAUUCAAGGCUGCUGCUGAGAGUCUGCUAAUUACCUCUGAUCUGUCACCAGCAGAUUUAGUAAGGCCAAUAUGGAAUACUUUAAGGAUCUUGCAAAUGCUUAAGAACCAAAGGUAUAUGUUCUGCAUU